rnacentral:rRNA from 1 species
UGGCGGCGGGUGAGUAAUGUCUGGGAAACUGCCUGAUGGAGGGGGAUAACUACUGGAAACGGUAGCUAAUACCGCAUAACGUCGCAAGACCAAAGAGGGGGACCUUCGGGCCUCUUGCCAUCGGAUGUGCCCAGAUGGGAUUAGCUAGUAGGUGGGGUAACGGCUCACCUAGGCGACGAUCCCCAGCUGGUCUGAGAGGAUGACCAGCCACACUGGAACUGAGACACGGUCCAG